rnacentral:lncRNA from 1 species
CAAAAUUAAUCAAAGUCCAAGCUCUUUUGCAAAUAAUAAAACCUAACCUAACCAUUAAACCCAAACCACCUAGCCCGGUUGAUAAGCUAACCCAAUUAACAAACAACCCAAACCCCAACCCAUUUGAAAUACGACCCAAUUACAAGAUUGGCCCAUAUGACUGAAACUUUGGUUUCAGAAGCCGAAACCCUAGCCAUCUCCCCUAGCGCCGUAACCAGUAGUCGGUCUCUAGCACCAUACGUGCGCCAUCGUCCCUCGCGCCCUCCUCCGUUCGUGUCUUUAUACGGCUAUUCCUGCAAUAGAACACACAAGAAGAAGCAGCUAACAGAAUACACAGCAAAUGGCAGCAGGAAAAUAUAAUUUCUAUUUUUCAUUUAUUCUGUAAAUUUGGGCUAUAAAAAGCCAUCGUUUGUACUUGAAAAUUUUACGCACACUGAAAUAGGCAUAUAAAUAUCGAAUACAGAGAAAAGGCAUUUAGAAAUCAAUUUUGGAAAGGUGAUUCUUAGAUCUAGCAUUUUUUUUCGAUUUUAUUUCUUUGUUCUUUGUAGUGGGCAAAUUUGCCCGGGCCCACUAGAAACCCAAAUAUAUAUAUAAUAUAAAAUAAAUAAAUAAAUUUAAAACCCAAGUUUAUAACAGUCCAAUAAUAAGCCCAGUUACAUAACCCCUAGCCCAAAUUUGUAACAAACCCUGACCCGAAUCUACAAGGCCCGAUAGGCCCAGAACACUAAAACAGGACAGAACCCUAGCUGUUUGCUUGUGCCGCAGCCGUCCGAGCCCCUCUAGUGCCUCCGCCCACGCCAAGCCUGCAACACCGUACGACCAGCACACAACCCUCGUAUGCCACGCCACACCUCCGUACGCCAACACAUCAUCCGUACCUGCAAAAGAACAAACCACAACAGCAAAUACAUACAAAAGAAAACAACAACAAAAAGAGAAUUUGUAUUCAAUUUUUAUUUCUAUUUUUUGAAUAUCUCUUAUUUCUGUAUCGACUAUAAAGCCAAAGCCCCUGCUCAUUGUAAUUUUUUUACGCGCACAAUCAAUACAUUUUUGAAAUACAAAAACGCAAAAGAAAUUGAAAGGUGAGACUCAGAUUCUAGUUCUUUUUCGUUUUCCCAUCCGUUCCUUUUUCUCCAGUUUUACAUACUGCACAUUUUGAACAUAAGAAUCGAAGAGGAAAAAGGGCGAAACCCUACCUUCGCAUAUGAGCCAUCGAAGACCUCGUCUCCUUCGCUGAAAUCGGAGUCGGAGAUGGGAUUUCGGGGCUUAAAUCGAUGAACUCCAUGCUGGAGUGAACGAAAGAGCGAAAAGGGGGGUACUGAAGGAUAUCACUCGUCGUGGCAGUGAUGAAAGGAUGGCCGAACGGCGCAGAACCUUUAGGGUUCCCCCUCUCCCUGUUUUUCAGCUGAAAUGUCUAGGGUUUUCAGGGGCUUCGCCUUCUUUUAAUCUGCGA